GGGAAUAUAGCUCAGCUGGUAGAGUGCUUGCCUCAAAUACAUGUAGGCCCUGGGUUCAAUCCCCAGCCA
rnacentral:tRNA from 1 species